CGUCGGGAGCGGAGCCUACCACCUGCUCCCGAGGAGGGGGCGGCAAGGAGAGGGAGGGGGCGCUGAGAGGAGGAACGUCGGGGGUGAACGUUGAAGGAGUGUUAGAGAUCCAAGCUUGGAAACCUGGCAAGCAUCUACUGCAGGAGUUCAACCAGACGCUGAACAGUACAGCAGCUGGCUAACCUGUGAUACUGACGAAUACCCCUAGGAAGUCUACAGAUUAGAAUGGAAGGAAGAAUCUGGAUUACAGCUUGGAUCAGAGAAGAAGAGUCUUGGUUUCCAUAUAGUUAAGAGGCAAGAAGUAUGGCAAGUAUGGCAAGGAACUCUUAUUUCCAGUAUAAAGAACGGGCAGGAGUCUCCCCACUGAGGUCCACCUCUCUUUGGAGGCAAGAGGAGUGGCAUUUGUAACUCUCGAUAAGAGUUGAAAUUACUCACAUAGAAGAAGGAGAUGGGACCGGCAUGGAAACUAAUCAUAAUCCCGAAGAUGCAAGUCAGCUGGGACAGCAUGAUAUGCAGUGCCACAGCAGCCAGUUGGUCCUGCCAGCCGCCAUGCUGUGAAUAUGGAGAAGCCAGAAUGGGGAGGAACUCAGGCCUGCCAACACCCAUAUGAGUGAGCCUGGAAGCAGAUCCUCCAGCCUCAGUAGAACCUUGAGAUAACUGCAAUCUCACCUUGAACCAGAGCCUGCCUGAUCACAAGCUUCAACCCUGCCUGCUGGGCCUCAGAAAAAUAGAGAAAUGGAGGUGUUUAAAGACUAUCUGGGGAACUAUAAACUACUCACAAGUAAUUGUUUACCCUGGGCAUGUGGACAAGGUCUGAUACAUUGUCUUUGGAUGAACAGGCUUCAUAUCUUCCUUACCUUGGGGAACUUGCACAAGGCCAACACUUAUACCAGCAAGUAAGUCUCCAAGAAGCCAAUCUUUUAAUCGAUACAUACACAUCCAUUCUAGGAAGGGAAAGAUUGUAAGCAUGCAUCGUAGGAACCUGUGCCAUGAGCAGCUGUGUGAGAGAAGAGCAGAGACUUGGUUAGUUUCUCCAAAGAAAAUGCCCACAUAGCCAAUAAAAGGCAUUUGGCCCACAUAGCCAAGAAAAAGCAGAGUCUUGUCAGCACUACUGACAGUUUGACAUAUUGGACCAGAUAAUUCUUUGUUGUUGGGCUGUCCUGUGCAUUGCAGGAUGUUUAGCAGCAUCCCUCAUCUCUACACAUUUGAUAUCAGUAGAACUCCCUCCUUCAGCUGUGACAGCUAACAACAACGUCUCCAGACAUCACCACAUGUUCCCUGGGAGACUAAAUCACCUUAGCUUCAGAACCAAGUGCUAUGUAUAUGUCAAGAACUAAGCCAUACACAUCCAGCAUGUAAUCAGUUCUGUGUUUUCAUAGGAUGUUUGGGAAAAAUUAAACCUACCAAUUUUCCAGUAGAAAAAUGGACUGCUGUUGUUUUCUCUUGACAAGGACAGUGUUUUGAGGGUGACAUUGAUAGGCGGAAGGGCAGUUAACACAUUCAUGUCAUUCCCAAUUAGGAGAGUCCCCAAGUGCGAGGCAGGUGCAUAAAGUGUGUUCUUUCUAAUUAUGACCCUCUGUGGAGGAGAGGAGAACAUGGCACUAAAAUUUUUACCAAACAUUUACUCUGGCCUUGACCUGUGACACGUAGAAAUUAGUAGAAAAUACAGAAUAUGAAGUCCUGUGCUUAAGGACUUAGUUAUGUAAAGAAACAACUUUGGCCGGGCGCGGUGGCUCAAGCCUGUAAUCCCAGCACUUUGGGAGGCCGAGACGGGCGGAUCACGAGGUCAGGAGAUCGAGACCAUCCUGGCUAACAC